CUACGGGAGGCAGCAGUCGAGAAUCUUCCGCAAUGGACGAAAGUCUGACGGAGCGACGCCGCGUGCGGGAUGAAGGCCUUCGGGUUGUAAACCGCUGUCAGUGGGGAGGAAAUGCAUCAGGGUUCUCCCUGGUGUUUGACCGAUCCGCAGAGGAAGCGCAGGCUAAGUUCGUGCCAGCAGCCGCGGUAACACGAACUGCGCGAACGUUAUUCGGAAUCACUGGGCUUAAAGAGUUCGUAGGCGGCCUUUCAAGUCGGGUGUGAAAUCCCUCGGCUCAACCGGGGAAUUGCGCCUGAUACUGUUGGGCUUGAGAGGGAUAGGGGUGAGCGGAACUGAUGGUGGAGCGGUGAAAUGCGUUGAUAUCAUCAGGAACACCGGUGGCGAAGGCGGCUCACUGGAUCUCUUCUGACGCUGAGGAACGAAAGCUAGGGGAGCGAACGGGAUUAGAUACCCUCGUAGUC
rnacentral:rRNA from 1 species